rnacentral:lncRNA from 1 species
AUCCAAACAUUCAAAGAUGCACAGAUCAAUGUUGUUGAAUCAAAACUUUCUGCCGGGAAUGGAACUGUAUUUCACACAUUUGUACUCAAGUCUAGUGGAUCUGAACAGCUGACAAAGGAAAAGUUGCUGGCUGCAUUUUCCAGCGAAUCAGACUCGCUGAGGCAAUUUUCACCGGUAGGGCAAUAACAGUUUUAUGUUUUAUGUAGUUGCUAGGCAUAAAGUGUAGUGAAGAAUCAUAUCGUAGUUUCUGCAGAGUUUUUCGUAUACAUCAGUUCAAGAUAGGUGGAAAUAACUAGCUAUUGACAAAGUAGCAGCAAAUUUUCUGUGUUUGUCUAUAGUAUACAUGUUUUAUCAUGAGGCAAGAUGGAUCAAUUGCAAGCUUAACUAUCUUUUGCAUACCGUUAUUUUGUAUUAUUCAUUGUUAUUAAUUCUUCAGGAGCUUCUGUAGAUGCAUUUAUGUCAUCUUAGAUCCAAGAUGUGCAUCUUACCAUGGAGCUAUCCAAGAAUGCACAAAAGGAAGUAUGGUAGAAACUAACAAGUUAAUCUACUUUUUAUGUGAUCUAUGUUUUUCCCUCUUUCUUUAGAAUGCCAGGUUAGGGUUGCGGGGUUGCUUGAUCUUAGUUUUUGGCGAUAUUGGAGAUUGAUAUAGUCAAUAAUUCUGAUUAGUUUGGGAUUGACGUGUCGUUUAUUGAUAAAUUGAUUUUUGUUUGUUCCGAUUGAGUCUUAUAGCAUGUUUGGCCAAGCUUCUUUUGAGGCAAAAGUAUUUUUUUUUGUGGUCAGAAGUGUUUUUUUCUAAAAUUAAAGUGUUUGGCCAAACUUUUGAAAGGGAAAAAAGUGCUUUUGAUGAAAAGUAGAAUCAGAAAAAAGUAGCUUCUCUCCUGAAACACUUUUUGAAAAGCAAUUUUGAGAAAAUAGAGGCACUUUUUAAUAGCUUUGCCAAAUACUAAUUGCUACUCAAAAGUAUUUUUCAAAUUAAAUAGCCAAACAUAAACUGGUUCUCGCCAAAAGUAUUUUUUUUGAAAAGCACUUUUGAAAAAAACACUUCUCAAAAUAAGCUGAUUUUAGAAGGUUGGCGAAAUAGGCUAGUACUAUGUUGUAAACUUACCUUGUGCCCGGUCCAUGAGAAAUGCAUGGAAAUGAUUAACUUUGUAAUUUCAGUCAGAAAUUUGCUGCUUGAAUUGUAUUUGGAAAAUAUUGUUCCUUGUGUUUCUUGUUAUAAAGGCAUAGUAGCAGUCGAAAGAAUUGUCUCCUUCAGUUCCUGUCCUGUUAUAAGUGUAACAGAUACUAAUAAACUGGCCCUGUGUUUUAUUUGGUGUAGUUGUAAUUUAUUGAACAUGACAAAAACAUGUGAAGGAAAGUGUGGUAGUCGUGGCAAAGUGGG